GGUACUAUAGUGUAGUGGUUAUCACUUGGGAUUUUGACACCGAUUACGUAAUCAUGUAAUGCGGUUGAAGUUCCCAUAACCCAGGUUCGAACCCUGGUAGUACCU